CCUACGGGUGGCAGCAGGAGGGAAUAGGGCGCAAGGGGGGAAACCCUGAAGCAGCAACGCCGCGUGGAGGAUGAAGGUGCUCGGAUUUUAAACCCCUUUUGUUAGAGAAGAUAAUGACGGUAUCUAACGAAUAAGCACCGGCUAACUCCGUGCCAGCACACGCAGUAAUACGAAGGGUGCAAGCGUUACCCGGAAUCAAUGGGCGUAAAGAGCGCGUAGGCGGGAUAGCAAGUCAGAUGUGAAAUCCUAUGGCUUAACCAUAGAACUGCAUUUGAAACUGUUAGUCUAGAGUAUGGGAGAGGUAGGUGGAAUGCUUGGUGUAGGAGUGAAAUGCGUAGAGAUCAAGAGGAAUACUCAUUGCGAAGGCGACCUGCUAGAACAUAACUGACGCUGAUGCACGAAAGCGUGGGGAGCAAACAGGAUUAGAUACCCUGGUAGUC
rnacentral:rRNA from 1 species